GAACGAGAAAGUGGAGCAAUCCAUGAGUAUAGUGGCGACCGGGUGAGUAACACGUGACCAACCUACCCUCGAGUGGGGAAUAACUCCGGGAAACCGGGGCUAAUACCGCAUAACAUCUCCGGUUCGGAAGAGCUGGCGAUCAAAGGAGCAAUUCGCUUGAGGAGGGGGUCGCGGCUGAUUAGCUAGUUGGCAGGGUAAUGGCCUACCAAGGCGAAGAUCGGUAGCCGGCCUGAGAGGGCGCACGGCCACACUGGAACUGAAACACGGUCCAGACUCCUACGGGAGGCAGCAGUGGGGAAUUUUGCGCAAUGGGGGAAACCCUGACGCAGCAACGCCGCGUGGAGGAUGAAGUCCCUUGGGACGUAAACUCCUUUCGACCGGGACGAUGAUGACGGUACCGGUGGAAGAAGCACCGGCUAACUCUGUG
rnacentral:rRNA from 1 species